rnacentral:rRNA from 1 species
UUAAGCGACUAAGCGUACACGGUGGAUGCCCUGGCAGUCAGAGGCGAUGAAGGACGUGCUAAUCUGCGAAAAGCGUCGGUAAGGUGAUAUGAACCGUUAUAACCGGCGAUGUCCGAAUGGGGAAACCCAGUGCAAUUCGUUGCACUAUCGUUAACUGAAUACAUAGGUUAACGAGGCGAACCGGGGGAACUGAAACAUCUAAGUACCCCGAGGAAAAGAAAUCAACCGAGAUUCCCCCAGUAGCGGCGAGCGAACGGGGAGCAGCCCAGAGUCUGAAUCAGCUUGUGUGUUAGUGGAACGGUCUGGAAAGUCCGACGGUACAGGGUGAUAGUCCCGUACACCAAAAUGCACAGGCUGUGAACUCGAAGAGUAGGGCGGGACACGUGGUAUCCUGUCUGAAUAUGGGGGGACCAUCCUCCAAGGCUAAAUACUCCUGACUGACCGAUAGUGAACCAGUACCGUGAGGGAAAGGCGAAAAGAACCCCGGCGAGGGGAGUGAAAAAGAACCUGAAACCGUGUACGUACAAGCAGUGGGAGCACCUUCGGGUGUGACUGCGUACCUUUUGUAUAAUGGGUCAGCGACUUAUAUUCUGUAGCAAGGUUAACCGUAUAGGGGAGCCGCAGGGAAACCGAGUCUUAACUGGGCGUUAAGUUGCAGGGUAUAGACCCGAAACCCGGUGAUCUAGCCAUGGGCAGGUUGAAGGUUGGGUAACACUAACUGGAGGACCGAACCGACUAAUGUUGAAAAAUUAGCGGAUGACUUGUGGCUGGGGGUGAAAGGCCAAUCAAACCGGGAGAUAGCUGGUUCUCCCCGAAAGCUAUUUAGGUAGCGCCUCGUGAACUCAUCUUCGGGGGUAGAGCACUGUUUCGGCUAGGGGGUCAUCCCGACUUACCAACCCGAUGCAAACUACGAAUACCGAAGAAUGUUAUCACGGGAGACACACGGCGGGUGCUAACGUCCGUCGUGAAGAGGGAAACAACCCAGACCGCCAGCUAAGGUCCCAAAGUCAUGGUUAAGUGGGAAACGAUGUGGGAAGGCACAGACAGCCAGGAUGUUGGCUUAGAAGCAGCCAUCAUUUAAAGAAAGCGUAAUAGCUCACUGGUCGAGUCGGCCUGCGCGGAAGAUGUAACGGGGCUAAACCAUGCACCGAAGCUGCGGCAGCGACACUAUGUGUUGUUGGGUAGGGGAGCGUUCUGUAAGCCUGCGAAGGUGUGCUGUGAGGCAUGCUGGAGGUAUCAGAAGUGCGAAUGCUGACAUAAGUAACGAUAAAGCGGGUGAAAAGCCCGCUCGCCGGAAGACCAAGGGUUCCUGUCCAACGUUAAUCGGGGCAGGGUGAGUCGACCCCUAAGGCGAGGCCGAAAGGCGUAGUCGAUGGGAAACAGGUUAAUAUUCCUGUACUUGGUGUUACUGCGAAGGGGGGACGGAGAAGGCUAUGUUAGCCGGGCGACGGUUGUCCCGGUUUAAGCAUGUAGGCUGGUUAUCCAGGCAAAUCCGGAUAAUCAAGGCUGAGGUGUGAUGACGAGGCACUACGGUGCUGAAGUAACAAAUGCCCUGCUUCCAGGAAAAGCCUCUAAGCAUCAGGUAACAUUAAAUCGUACCCCAAACCGACACAGGUGGUCAGGUAGAGAAUACCAAGGCGCUUGAGAGAACUCGGGUGAAGGAACUAGGCAAAAUGGUGCCGUAACUUCGGGAGAAGGCACGCUGGUGUGUAGGUGAAGCCCCUGCGGGUGGAGCUGAGACCAGUCGAAGAUACCAGCUGGCUGCAACUGUUUAUUAAAAACACAGCACUGUGCAAACACGAAAGUGGACGUAUACGGUGUGACGCCUGCCCGGUGCCGGAAGGUUAAUUGAUGGGGUUAUCCGUAAGGAGAAGCUCUUGAUCGAAGCCCCGGUAAACGGCGGCCGUAACUAUAACGGUCCUAAGGUAGCGAAAUUCCUUGUCGGGUAAGUUCCGACCUGCACGAAUGGCGUAAUGAUGGCCAGGCUGUCUCCACCCGAGACUCAGUGAAAUUGAACUCGCUGUGAAGAUGCAGUGUACCCGCGGCAAGACGGAAAGACCCCGUGAACCUUUACUAUAGCUUGACACUGAACAUUGAGCCUUGAUGUGUAGGAUAGGUGGGAGGCUUUGAAGCGUGGACGCCAGUCUGCGUGGAGCCAACCUUGAAAUACCACCCUUUAAUGUUUGAUGUUCUAACGUUGGCCCCUUACCGGGGUUGCGGACAGUGUCUGGUGGGUAGUUUGACUGGGGCGGUCUCCUCCCAAAGCGUAACGGAGGAGCACGAAGGUUAGCUAAUCCUGGUCGGACAUCAGGAGGUUAGUGCAAUGGCAUAAGCUAGCUUGACUGCGAGCGUGACGGCGCGAGCAGGUGCGAAAGCAGGUCAUAGUGAUCCGGUGGUUCUGAAUGGAAGGGCCAUCGCUCAACGGAUAAAAGGUACUCCGGGGAUAACAGGCUGAUACCGCCCAAGAGUUCAUAUCGACGGCGGUGUUUGGCACCUCGAUGUCGGCUCAUCACAUCCUGGGGCUGAAGUAGGUCCCAAGGGUAUGGCUGUUCGCCAUUUAAAGUGGUACGCGAGCUGGGUUUAGAACGUCGUGAGACAGUUCGGUCCCUAUCUGCCGUGGGCGCUGGAGAAUUGAGGGGGGCUGCUCCUAGUACGAGAGGACCGGAGUGGACGCAUCACUGGUGUUCGGGUUGUCAUGCCAAUGGCACUGCCCGGUAGCUAAAUGCGGAAGAGAUAAGUGCUGAAAGCAUCUAAGCACGAAACUUGCCCCGAGAUGAGUUCUCCCUGAGACUUUAAGUCUCCUGAAGGAACGUUAAAGACGAUGACGUUGAUAGGCCGGGUGUGUAAGCGCAGCGAUGCGUUGAGCUAACCGGUACUAAUGAACCGUGAGGCUUAACCUU